ACGAACGCUGGCGGCGUGCUUAACACAUGCAAGUCGAACGGAAAGGCCCUGCUUUUGUGGGGUGCUCGAGUGGCGAACGGGUGAGUAACACGUGAGUAACCUGCCCUUGACCUUGGGAUAACUUCAGGAAACUGGGGCUAAUACCGGAUAGGAGCUCCUGCUGCAUGGUGGGGGUUGGAAAGUUUCGGCGGUUGGGGAUGGACUCGCGGCUUAUCAGCUUGUUGGUGGGGUAGUGGCUUACCAAGGCUUUGACGGGUAGCCGGCCUGAGAGGGUGACCGGCCACAUUGGGACUGAGAUACGGCCCAGACCCCUACGGGAGGCAGCAGUGGGGAAUAUUGCACAAUGGGCGGAAGCCUGAUGCAGCAACGCCGCGUGCGGGAUGACGGCCUUCGGGUUGUAAACCGCUUUCGCCUGUGACGAAGCGUGAGUGACGGUAAUGGGUAAAGAAGCACCGGCUAACUACGUG
rnacentral:rRNA from 1 species